rnacentral:rRNA from 1 species
CAGUCGCCACGGUAAUACGAAGGGUGCAAGCGUUACUCGGAAUUACUGGGCGUGAAGCGUGCGUAGGUGGUGGUUUAAGUCCGUUGUGAAAGCCCUGGGCUCAACCUGGGAAUUGCAGUGGAUACUGGAUCACUAGAGUGUGGUAGAGGAUAGUGGAAUUUCCGGUGUAGCAGUGAAAUGCGUAGAGAUCGGAAGGAACAUCUGUGGCGAAGGCGACUAUCUGGGCCAACACUGACACUGAGGCACGAAAGCGUGGGGAGCAAACAGGAUUAGAUACCCCCGUAGUCCCUGUCUCUUAUAC